CCUACGUGUGGCAGCAGUGGGGAAUAUUGCGCAAUGGGCGAAAGCCUGACGCAGCGACGCCGCGUGAGGGAUGAAGGUCUUCGGAUCGUAAACCUCUGUCAGCAGGGAAGAACGGUCACUGUGCUAAUCAGCAGUGAAUUGACGGUACCUGCAAAGGAAGCAGCGGCUAACUCCGUGCCAGCAGCCGCGGUAAUACGGAGGGUGCGAGCGUUAAUCGGAAUUACUGGGCGUAAAGCGCUCGUAGGCGGUAUGUCAAGUCAAGGGUGAAAUCCCCGCGCUCAACGUGGGAACUGCCUUUGAAACUGGCAAACUGGAGUGUGUGAGAGGAUAGUGGAAUGCCAGGUGUAGGAGUGAAAUCCGUAGAUAUCUGGAGGAACAUCAGUGGCGAAGGCGACUAUCUGGCACAUAACUGACGCUGAGGAGCGAAAGCGUGGGUAGCAAACAGGAUUAGAUACCCCGGUAGUC
rnacentral:rRNA from 1 species